CUGAAAUAGAGCUUUCCUGAAACAACCCAGGACUGGAAAACCUUCCAUCAACUUCCUGGAGUAUAUUAAUUACUGGACUGUAGCUAUUUUUGAAGUUUUGUAAGCAGUGUGUGUGUGUUAGAGAGUAAGAAUUGAAUCAGAACUGAAUAUAUUCAUAUGGGCAGGCCAGGUACAGAAGCACUAAAAUCCUCCCCCUCCCCUGGAGAACCUGUUCUCAGAGCAGCUCUGCCACCUGACACCAGGAAUGGCAAAAAGACUUCUGACAAGAUUCAAGGAACUGUACAAGCAAAUCUGAAGAAAAUAAAUACCAGACUGAGAACUUCCAGCAUCAGAAAUGAGAAGACAUAACUCCUCAUCUGAAAAAAUGACCGAGUCCCAGGGACCCAUACUCUUCCUCAUUGUUCCACAAACAGGUCCGGGUUCUUCCAGAGACAGAAAGGAAAUGCUGAGCACACAAACCUGGUUUUCAAGCCUUUUCAACAGAUGGAGAGCGCCCAAGAAACCCGCGGUCUCAGGAAAGACACACACAUCCCUCAAAACUCCCACAGCUUCUAACACGUAAGUGUAAGCCUCAGUCAAGCAUGUGUGUGGUUCAGUGAGCAGCAGCUUCUGCAAGAGAGCUGCCAGUUUCCUUCCUGACAACAUGGAAGGAAACCAGAGGUACCACAAGGUCACUGCAGACAGAACAAGCUUUGGGAAAUGCAUCUAAUCUCUCGAAUCAUUUCUUACACUUUGUUAAUUGGUUUUGAGGCAGAGUUUAACCUCCCCCUGCACGCUGGGCUCUGGUGGUGCCUGAGAUCCAGUAGCUUAGAGCUCUGGCUGACAUGGCAUCUUCUGCCAAAUUGGUGACAUCUCCUGCCAAAUCAAUGCCACCCUCCAGUGGAAAGGCUUUAAACCUUAGAAAUGUUGCGUGGAUCAGCUGUAACUCAUGUAAAGUAAUAGGUGACUCCCCACAGACUGAUGCCAUCAAUCACAACUAUGGUCACAAUCUUGCAUAAAGCCAAUCUAACAAACACCUGGGUGCAGUUCACAGACUUUGCCUGUAUCUGAGAUAUCUUUGAGAUCAGUGCAAUACUCCCCAGAGCAAAAAGCAGUGACAUGACACACUACCAAGGCCACAAGGAAACAAAAAGUUCCAGCCACUUCUCCUGGGGAGGCAGAACCAGAUCCCUGUGACCUGCUCUGUCACACUAGCAUUAAAAAAAAAAAACCAAAGAAACCCCAAAAUGGCGAAAUAUGCCUUAAAUCUCUCGUACUAAACACACAGCCAUUCCCUGGCAGGACCCCUCAAGCAGGGAGUCACCAGAGAAGACACCAACUCACAGUUUUUACAGGGACAGAGCAGCAGUUUCUGAAGCCACGGGAGCAGGGUGCGGCCCCAGGGUCGUUAUCAGAGCAGGGAACAAUACACUGAGCUGACUGAGCCCUAUCUCUUGCCUUUCAUCAGGAAAUAGCAGCGAGUUUCCUUAUUACCAGCUGCCUGGGCAACUCAUUUAAGCUUCUUGGGAAACCAGUUAGAACAAUUAAGCUGGGAGUAACUCCCUUGAAACACGGAAGAUACAGCGCGCUUAUCCCUAUCUGACCAGUCAGAGGAGGUUUAAAGAAAGAUGACCUUUGAUUUAAUGCUACUGUAGUCGAUGCUCUUUGAAUCAUUCCAUGAGUGAGUAAUAAUAAUAAAAAGAAACCUUCUAGCA
rnacentral:lncRNA from 1 species